rnacentral:tRNA from 1 species
GCCUGGUUAGCUCAGUUGGUUAGAGUGUGGUGCUAAUAAUGCCAAGGUCACAGGUUCAAUCCCUGCUCACUGCA